rnacentral:rRNA from 1 species
CAGUCGCCACGGUAAUACAGAGGGUGCGAGCGUUAAUCGGAUUUACUGGGCGUAAAGCGUGCGUAGGCGGUUCGUUAAGACAGAUGUGAAAUCCCCGGGCUUAACCUGGGAACUGCUUUUGAUACUGGCGACCUUGAGGAUGGGAGAGGUAAGCGGAACUCCGAGUGUAGAGGUGAAAUUCGUCGAUAUUCGGAAGAACACCAGUGGCGAAGGCGGCUUACUGGCCCAUUACUGACGCUGAGGCUCGAAAGCGUGGGGAGCAAACAGGAUUAGAGACCCGUGUAGUCCCUGUCUCUUAUAC